GCACGAGACUCCACCCAACUCCUCCGAUAGGGAAAAAAAAACACGCCUCCCCGCUCGGCCUCCUAGUGGAUGGCGGAGGCACUGCCGUGGCGGCCGUGGCGCUGCCGGCGGCGACGGGGCGUCCCUAUUUCCCUUGCUCCCGAGCUCGUCUCCCCAAACUCCUUCCCCUUCCCAACCUGCUCCCCUUUCCCAUGCUCUUCGCGACGGCGAGCAGGGCAAGGCGGCCGGGCGCGCCUACCUCAGCCCCUCCCUUCCUCGACCUCCCUCUUCCUCUCCUCCUGCGUCCCCGAGGGCUACAAGCCCCGCCGGCCUGCUGGCCGCGCAGGACCGCCCGUCCCAUGCUCACGCACGCGGCUGGGGGCGGCGCGCAUGGAUCUGCUUGUGGAGCAUGGGCCCGGCGCGGCUCUGGCCGCGAGGGGCGCGCGGCUCCGGCCGCUCGAGCCACCUCGGCUCUCCUCUCUCACCCCUCUCUCACCCUAGAUCCAGUACUCCAACCACAAAAAUCAAAAGGAACGAAGCCCGGCUGCUCCCCACCGGCUCGCGCCCCGACCCUCUCUGCCGCCACCUCUCGGUCCGCCGCUGCGUCUCGUCGGGGAGGAGGAGGAUAUGGCUGCCGCCGCCUUUGCUGCAGGCCGGGUCCUGCUCCUGCACGGCCAGCACCAGUGGCCGCGACAGCGGUGUGCGGCCGUGUUCAGAAAGGCGAUCACAGGAACGUCAGUCACCAGCUCGCGGCCACGCUGGUGACGUUCCUGUCGAGGGCGACCGCAUACGCACACCAUCCAUCCGCUCCUACACCUCUACGGCGGGAUUCAGCAAGAAAGCAGACGGAAGCGGAUAAACAACAUGGCAAUGCCACUACUGAUCGUGCCCGCCCAUGAACCAGUCGGAAGCAGCCUUGGCAUUUAAGCCUAAAAAAUCAAUCUGGUUCUCCGCUGCAACAUAUGUUCUUUACAUUUUUACCUGAGGUGAAGUACUCUACAGAACUACUGGCACAUGUGUAUGACAAAUUUUCCAGUUUUACCUCUUCCUAUUUUUUUAUUUUGUUCUUUACCUCUUCCUAUUUUUUUAUUUUUUCCGUGGUGCCUGCCAUUCCCUUUUUAUUAUGUCAAUGCAGCAAUAGCCCCUACUUCUAGCUUCUAUUUUCUAGUAGGGACUACUCCAGAAAGCUAUGAUUUUUUCCUUCAACUCCACAGGGUCUGUUUAGAUCAGUUUGCAAAAACGCUGUAAACGCAAAGAUACCAAAGAAAUUUAAAGUACUAAAUGAAAUCUAUUUACAAAAUUUUUUGCAUGGAUGGAUUGUAAAUCGCGAGACGAAUCUAAUGAGCCUACUUAAUCCAUGUUUUGCAAUAGUGAUGCUAUAGUAACCAUCAACUAAUUAUUGCUUAAUCAUGGAUUAAUUAGCAUCAUUAGAUUUGUCUCGUGAUUUACAACCCAUCCAUGCAAAAAGUUUUACAAAUAGACUUCAUUUAGUACUUCAAAUUGGUAAGAUUCCUUUGUAAAUUUUUUUUUACGUUUUUCAAACUGAUCUAAACAGGCCCCAACAGUCUCUACAUUUUAGCCCCUACUCUUCUGUGACAGGUGGGCCUGUCAGUCUCAUCUGCAUUAUUUUUACUUUUUUUUUCCUUUUUUCCUCCUGAAGCAUCCCACCCCGAUGCAUCUCUCCCUCUCCCGACGCCUCUGUCCUGUCUCUCUCUCCCCAAACGCAGCUUUCGUCUCUCCCCCUAAACGCAUAUCUCUCUCUCGUCCCUCUCCCUUUCCCUAGACGGAUCUCUCUCUCGUCUCCCUCCCUCUUCCCCGACGGAUCUCUCUCUCGUCUCCCUCUCCCCCAACACAUCUCUCCCAUGGCCGGUGGGCGGUGGCUCCAUGGCCGAGCUCGGGCGGCGGCACGUGGGGGAGGGUCGCGGGGCUCCAUGGCCGAGCUCGGGCAGCGCUUCGGGUAGGCCCGGUUCCAACUUCCAUGGCCAAGAUCGGGUGGUGCUCAGGGUAUAUUUGCGGGGUUCCAUGGCCAAGAUCGGGCGGCACUCGAGGUAGACCUGCGGGGCUCCAUGGCCCAGCUCAGGAAACGCUCGGGCGGGCCGUGGUGCUCCAUGGCCGAGCUCGGCGGGGCUCCAUGGCCGAGCUCCAGCAGGGCUCCUCGCACGCACGCACCGAGUAGGGGCCUCCCUUCCCACCUGUGGGAGAAGGGGUUACGAGAGGAAAUCUGAGUGCCUCGCUACUGUAGGGACCCAAUUAGAGAUCUUGCUGGAGUGAAUUUUUUCAUCCUCGGUCCCUACUUUAUAGGUUAUAAGUAGGGAUCUUGCUGGAGUUGCUUUAGUCUAGCAAUUUGAAAUUGUCUAUUGCUAUAUGGAAUUGCUGAAUAAGAAUCUUUAGCUAUUUGAAA